rnacentral:rRNA from 1 species
AUCGAUGAAGAACGCAGCGAAUUGCGAUAAGUAAUGUGAAUUGCAGAAUUCAGUGAAUCAUCGAAUCUUUGAACGCACCUUGCGCUCCCUGGUAUUCCUAGGAGCAUGCCUGUUUGAGUGUCAUGAAUCCCUCAAAUCCCAAUGUUUUUUAAAAAGAAGCGUUGCUUGGAUUUGGUUGUGGGCCCUUGCAGUCUUUCACGAGUCUGCUGGCCUUAAAGAUAUUAGCUGGACCUCUCUAAUCUCUAAGCAGAGUACUUCCAUUUGAUGUAAUAAAAUUGCAUUGGUGGAAGCUCGACUUGGUACCUAGAGGAAGUCUGCUUCUUAACCCGGCGCGAGUGGCAACACUCAACCCACUAUUUCAUAACUCUGGCCUCAAAUCAGGUAGGACUACCCGCUGAACUUAAGCAUAUCAAUAAGCGGAGGAAAAGAAACUAACAAGGAUUCCCCUAGUAACGGCGAGUGAAGCGGGAAGAGCUCAAAUUUGAAAGCUGGUACCUUCGGUGCCCGCGUUGUAAUCUCGAGAAGUGUUUUCCGUGCUGGACCAUGUACAAGUUCCUUGGAAUAGGACGUCAUAGAGGGUGAAAAUCCCGUACUUGACAUGGACGCCCAGUGCUUUGUGAUACACUCUCCACGAGUCGAGUUGUUUGGGAAUGCAGCUCAAAAUGGGUGGUAAAUUCCAUCUAAAGCUAAAUAUUGGGGAGAGACCGAUAGCGAACAAGUACCGUGAGGGAAAGAUGAAAAGCACUUUGGAAAGAGAGUUAAACAGUACGUGAAAUUGUCGAAAGGGAAGCGCUUGAAGUUAGACAUGCCUAUUAGGAUUCAGCCUUGCUUUUGCUUGGUGUAUUUCCUGGUAAGCAGGCCAGCAUCAGUUUUGUCUGUCGGAUAAGGGUAGAAGGAAUGUGGCCCCUCGGGGUGUUAUAGCCUUUUACUGGAUACGGCGGAUGGGACUGAGGACCGCAGUGCGCCUUUAUGGCGGGCCUUCGGGCACCUUCGCACUUAGGAUGCUGGCGUAAUGGCUUUAAGCGACCCGUCUU